GUCCCUAGUCACACAUGUCAUUGUAUCUGUAAUCAUGUAUGAUUAGUGGGAACGGGCACACUAGAUAACAAACUUUGUUUGGAGUAAUACAAUUUCAAAAGACUAAUGCCUUUGCUUUAAUCGUCAAUUAUCUACCUUUGUGUGAUCUAAGGAUACAACUGUGAUUUCUCUGCAUAUGAGGAAACAACUGUAUAUAGCAAAAAAAUGAGCCUAGAAGAAACCAGUAAAGACAUUACUGAAAAGGUGUGUGUCAUCUGUAAAGAGCAAGAUGACCGUCCAGUUUCAAAACUUGGAGAAAAGGGAUGUCAAGGACUUUCAUUAGCUGCAAAAAACUAUACAGACCAGAUUAUCGAGUUUGUUCCGGGACAGUUUGUGCAUAUUGACUGCCGCAAGAAAUAUUGCCACCCAAACAAAACCAGUAGUAGAGGGAAAACCGCAUCAAACUUAAUGUCAAGUCCCAAAAUCAGGCAAUCAACAAAUGGAAAUACGUUUGACUUUGGAACAAAAUGCUUAUUUUGUGGUUCUGAUGCUAAAUUUUGCCAUGGAAAAAGAGGAAUUGACGUUAAUCCUGUUAUGACUCUAGAAUUUGAGUUGACUAUAAGGGAGUCGUGUAAAUCUAGGUGCGAUUAAUGGGGUGAUACUGUUCUUUGGCGACUUGAGUCCACAAAUGACCUUCCUGUUGUAGAAGCACGUUACCGCCAAGCUUAUUCUGCUGGUUUCAGAUAAGGUUACAAUGUACCAAAAUUGUAUAAGAAUGAAAAUGUCAAGCCUUAAAAGGGUCGGCCACUUGAUACUUGUUCUGAUGAAGCAUUUCUUCAGUUAAUGAAUUAUUUUGAAGAGCAUGAAUCUGAACAAAUGACAGUGAAUGAUCUUUGUGAGAAAAUGAACACAUUGUGUGGUAAAUCUUCUUAUAGUAACAUACAUAUGAAGAAGAAAAUUCUCGAACAUUUUGAUAAUAAUGUUGUUAUAACUGAGCUAAAUGGAAAACAAAAUGUUGUUACUUUUAACACUACUGCCCAUUCUAUAUUGUAUUUAUUUUACAAAAGAAGUAAUGCAAAUGAUAAGGAAUGUGAAAAGAGAGCUAUUAUUAAAACUGCAGGUAUACUUAUUUUUGAAUUAAAUAAAACACAUGGCAGAGAUUACAAAAGAACAGUAUCCAUCUUCAGCAGAUAUAAUGUCUAUUGAUUCAAAUUAUAAAUAUUUACCUGAAGGUCUUUGUUGUUUUUUGCAGCAGCUCAUUGACAGUACAAAUACAAAUAGAAAAAUUUCAUCUAUAGGUCAAGCUGUAAUUCAGGC